rnacentral:lncRNA from 1 species
GGAGAGAGAGGGGAGGUAGGAGGAAAAAAAUAAAAAACACCACACACCGACAAAACAAAACCAAAAAAAAAAAAAACAACAACAACAACAAAACCAAUGCAGAGUGCGCACUGCAGUCACCCGGGGGAACUGGAGUAAUAGUGAAGAAAGCUGAGCUCCUGUGUAGUAGCCAGCCACUUUUGGAGGCACUGCAGGCUGGCUCACGGCAGGAUCAUUUCAGUUGCUGGACCAGCGCCUGCCUUGCUGCCUGCCUCCCAGCUGUAUUGCUAACUGCAUUUCAUUGCAGCUUCUGUGUGCUGUUGCUGUCACACAAGCCAUGUAUGCACUCUCCCAGCAGCUGAGCGCAGGGAUGGCUCGCAUGGCUAUAAUUUUUUGCCUUGACGUCUCAGCUCAUUUGCUCCUCCUAUGGAGCGCUGGGUCACGACAGGAGCUCGACAUCCGCGGCGUGCACAGUAACCCAAACCUGCAUGACUGCAGCAGGGGAGCAGGCAGCAUCCCCGCCGUGCAGUGGGGCUGGAUACAGAGGGGAGCACGGAGGAGAAGCAAAGAGGAGAGAAGCACGGCUGCUAGCAAGUGCUGCAGUCACACAGCGCGCUGCAAAUGCUGCUGCAGGGCAGCCUGCAAGAGCAGUUGUGAAAAGCAAAUGCAGGGGGGGAAGGUGUCUGUGCAUUGGACACCGAAGCUCUGCAUUGGCAUCCAGCACUCCGAGGUGACAGAGCUGCAUGAGGGAGCUGCUCGACUGGGGACCCAGGACACUGAAGAUGCCAUCCUCUCUCCCAGCCCCACCCCACUGGGUGCUGCAGCAGAGCAGCACCGAGCUGUCACUGACCAGAUGGGUCUCCACGUGGCCAUGCUUGCAGCAGAAACACAGCUCAUUCUGGUGUACCCCACCAGGCACUGUGAGUGGCAGUAG